GGCGGCGCGCUUAACACAUGCAAGUCGAACGAGAAAGGGGAGCAAUCCCUGAGUACAGUGGCGUACGGGUGAGUAACACGUGGGUAUCUACACUUUAGUGGGGAAUAACUUUGGGAAACCGAAGCUAAUACCGCAUAAGCCUGAGAAGGGAAAGCCGAAAGGCGCUGAAGAAGGAGCCCGCGGCCGAUUAGCUAGUUGGUGAGGUAAUGGCCCACCUAGGCGAUGAUCGGUAGCCGGCCUGAGAGGGCACACGGCCACACUGGCACUGAAACACGGGCCAGACUCCUACGGGAGGCAGCAGUGGGGAAUCUUGCACAAUGGAGGAAACUCUGAUGCAGCGACGCCGCGUGAGCGAUGAAGCCCCUCGGGGUGUAAAGCUCUUUCGACGGGAACGAUAAUGACGGUACCCGGAGAAGAAGCUGCGGCUAACUACGUGCCAGCAGCCGCGGUAAUAC
rnacentral:rRNA from 1 species